GUACCCGUAGCUCAGCUGGAUAGAGCGUGAGAUUCCGGAUCUCAAGGUCAAAGGUUCAACUCCUUUCGGGUACACCA
rnacentral:tRNA from 2 species